rnacentral:ribozyme from 11 species
AAAAAAAAAAAUUCCAAACAAAAUACCGUAAUUUUUUUUUUUUUUUUUUUUUUUUUUUUUUUUUGUUGUCAAAGUCUUUUAUUGCAGUGUUUCCAACACCCGACAAGUUUGGAUCCGGAAGAGUCUGUUUGUCAAAACU